ensembl:lncRNA
CAUUUAUCUGUGGAUGGCGUCUCAACAUCAAAGUCUCCUCAGCACGCUGUGCUCCUCUGAGCAUUGAACAUUUCAAAUGUAGGUCUACAAACUCCAGAAAAAAUGUGUUGUGAAGGCCUUCUGCUUACUAGAGGUGAAAAUACGUGCUGAUGGCAACUAUAGGAGUGAAUCAUUAAUGGAUGAGAACUGCUGAAUAGAAGCACACCUGUGGCAUCAGCAUGUGGCAGGCGUUUCUCUGAAUGUCAGGAUGAGAGAGGCCUGGAGAUCUCGACCCAGACAUGCCCUGUCAAAAAGGGUGAAAGCCUGCACCCGUCUGUACGAAUACAAGUCCAAUAUUCAUCCAGACAGCGUGCCCUUUCUCAAAAGUCUGCAUGUACAUUCUGCUUCUCAAAAAACCUAAUUUGAGUCCUCAAGGAGCGACGGCAUCAGGAGAGAAGACACAGCGUGUGCUCACAUCUGUAGCAGCAGAUUUCGUUUCUUGCCACAGGUGACUGCAACGACUGCCUGAGCUGGAUUGUCAAACUUGGUGCUUAAAUUAGCAGAUAGGAAGAUGAGGUGUUUGAUGCUGUCAUACAAUCUAUAGUGAUUCUGUAUACAUGUAGUAGGGUUCUAUAAAAUCUGUAGUGUUUUUUUUUUUUUUUUUUAUCAUAUUAGGACAUUAAUAAAGCAUGACAGUGACAGGUUAUUUCAAAGAUAAUAGGACCCCAGGACAAAAACUCUCCCGCUUUUCUGCUGAAAGGUCACGGCACAGCAUCGUAGAGACAUUAUGAAAAGGAUGUCUACACUUUAUUGGCUGGCUGAGCUUCAUGAGUCAUUCGGUUUGUGACACAUUGUUUCAUUCCUUGGAGGACUGUGAGCUUUUGUUGGCAGCUGGUAUUUUAUUUCAGAGAUUUCAUUUGAAGUGUAAUGGAACCUCAUCGAUUUCAGGGUUAUUUUCUCAUGACGUAGUUCACUGAAGCUGUUUAUUAGAGUACAUGUAUUCUUCACGGUUAUGUGUCUGCUAAUAUACUCCAUUCUGAGCUUUCUCAUACUGUCAUUCCUGUCUCUUUUGAUAUUGCUCAGUAUUUUGUCCUGUCUUUAAAGCAACUGUAUGUAGUUUUGUGUAUUUUUGCCACUUUGGAGCCCUCUACAGUUAAGUAUAGUAAAAAUAUCAUUGUUGGAAUUACAGUGGAUAGCUGUGCAUGUACAUUUGAUGCUGCUGUAAAACAAUCUGCCAUUUUUGAAGAAUUUCACCAACCUUCACAAUUUUAUUUCUCAUUUU